UACGAAGGGGGCUAGCGUUGCUCGGAAUCACUGGGCGUAAAGCGCACGUAGGCGGGUCGUUAAGUCAGGGGUGAAAUCCUGGAGCUCAACUCCAGAACUGCCCUUGAUACUGGCGAUCUCGAGUUCGGGAGAGGUGAGUGGAACUGCGAGUGUAGAGGUGAAAUUCGUAGAUAUUCGCAAGAACACCAGUGGCGAAGGCGG
rnacentral:rRNA from 1 species